rnacentral:lncRNA from 1 species
GAAUGGGGCAUGAAUGGGUUCUGGGGUGUGUGUGUGUUAUGGGGCACGACUGUGGCAGUGGGGCGUGUGUGGGUGUCCCCACGUGUCCCCAAGUGUGUCCCCCCCCCCCUCCCCUUGGGCCCAUGGCGGUGCCAGCAGCGGGCGGCACAAUGCGGCACAAUGUCCCCAUUCACAGCACGGGGACGGGGACACGCGCGGCGCUGGCCGCAGCCAACCCACAGAUGUGGGGCGCGGGAACCCCAACCCCAAAUACAUGGGGCACACCAACCCCCAAACCCCAUAGAUUUGGGACUCAAGACCCCCGACCCCAAACAUAUGGGGCUCACCGACCCCAAACCCCAUAGAUUUGGGACUCAAGACCCCAAAUCCCAAACAUAUGGGGCACACUGACCCCAAACCCCAUAGAUUUGGCACUCAAGACCCCAAACCCCAAACAUAUGGGGCACACCGACCCCAAACCCCAUAGAUCUGGGACUCCAGACCCCAAACCCCAAAUAUAUGGGGCACACCGACCCCAAACCCCCUCCAGACCCCAAACCCCAAACAUAUGAACCCCAGACCCCAAACAUGUGGGGCUCACCGACCCCAGACCCCCUUCGGACCCCAAACCCCAUAGAUUUGGGACUCCAGACCCCAAACCCCAAACAUAUGGGGCACACCGACCCCAAACCCCAUAGAUCUGGCACUCCAGACCCCAAACCCCAAACAUAUGGGGCUCACCGACCCCCCCUACCCCCUCCAGACCCCAAACCCCAAAUCUAUGGGGCCGGCUGAUCCCUUGUUCCGCGGCCCCACCCCCC